GAGUUUGAUCAUGGCUCAGAUUGAGCGCUGGCGGCAGGCCUAACACAUGCAAGUCGAGCGGAUGACGGGAGCUUGCUCCUUGAUUCAGCGGCGGACGGGUGAGUAAUGCCUAGGAAUCUGCCUGGUAGUGGGGGACAACGUUUCGAAAGGAACGCUAAUACCGCAUACGUCCUACGGGAGAAAGCAGGGGACCUUCGGGCCUUGCGCUAUCAGAUGAGCCUAGGUCGGAUUAGCUAGUUGGUGGGGUAAUGGCUCACCAAGGCGACGAUCCGUAACUGGUCUGAGAGGAUGAUCAGUCACACUGGAACUGAGACACGGUCCAGACUCCUACGGGAGGCAGCAGUGGGGGAAUAUUGGACAAUGGGCGAAAGCCUGAUCCAGCCAUGCCGCGUGUGUGAAGAAGGUCUUCGGAUUGUAAAGCACUUUAAGUUGGGAGGAAGGGCAGUAAGUUAAUACCUUGCUGUUUUGACGUUACCGACAGAAUAAGCACCGGCUAACU
rnacentral:rRNA from 1 species